rnacentral:rRNA from 1 species
CCAUGAACAUGGAUGGACCUGCGGUGCAUUAGCUAGUUGGUGAGGUAACGGCCCACCAAGGCGACGAUGCAUAGCCGGCCUGAGAGGGCGGACGGCCACAUUGGGACUGAGACACGGCCCAAACUCCUACGGGAGGCAGCAGUAGGGAAUUUUCGUCAAUGGGGGGAACCCUGAACGAGCAAUGCCGCGUGAGUGAGGAAGGUCUUCGGAUCGUAAAGCUCUGUUGUAAGAGAAAAACGGCACUCAUAGGGAAUGAUGAGUGAGUGAUGGUAUCUUACCAGAAAGUCACGGCUAACUACGUGCCAGCAGCCGCGGUAAUACGUAGGUGGCGAGCGUUAUCCGGAAUGAUUGGGCGUAAAGGGUGCGUAGGUGGCAGAUCAAGUCUGGAGUAAAAGGUAUGGGCUCAACCCGUACUGCUCUGGAAACUGAUCAGCUAGAGAACAGAAGAGGACGGCGGAACUCCAUGUGUAGCGGUAAAAUGCGUAGAUAUAUGGAAGAACACCGGUGGCGAAGGCGGCCGUCUGGUCUGGAUUCUGACACUGAAGCACGAAAGCGUGGGGAGCAAAUAGGAUUAGAUACCCUAGUAGUCCACGCCGUAAACGAUGAGAACUAGGUGUUGGGGGAAUAACUCAGUGCCGCAG